UCAAUGCGAUUUCUUUGGAAU
rnacentral:miRNA from 1 species